GACGAACGCUGGCGGCGUGCUUAACACAUGCAAGUCGAACGGAAAGGCCCUGCUUGCCGGGUACUCGAGUGGCGAACGGGUGAGUAACACGUGGGUGAUCUGCCCUGCACUUCGGGAUAAGCCUGGGAAACUGGGUCUAAUACCGGAUAGGAGCCAUUUUUAGUGUGAUGGUUGGAAAGUUUUUUCGGUGUAGGAUGAGCUCGCGGCCUAUCAGCUUGUUGGUGGGGUAAUGGCCUACCAAGGCGGCGACGGGUAGCCGGCCUGAGAGGGUGGACGGCCACAUUGGGACUGAGAUACGGCCCAGACUCCUACGGGAGGCAGCAGUGGGGAAGAUUGCACAAUGGGCGCAAGCCUGAUGCAGCGACGCCGCGGGGGGGAGGACGGCCUUCGGGUUGUAAACUCCUUUCGCUAGGGACGAAGCUUUUUGUGACGGUACCUAGAUAAGAAGCACCGGCUAACUACGUG
rnacentral:rRNA from 1 species